rfam:Picea glauca, whole genome shotgun sequence.
AUAAUGGUGUCAUUAGACACCAUAUUUGUCUUCAAAAAAAAAAAU